ensembl:lncRNA basal cell adhesion molecule-like
UCUCUCUGGUGGUUUAGCUCACUUCCUGUGCCUGUGCCUCUGCUGCUGCUUAUGUUUGACUCUCUCUCUCUCUUAAGACUGUUGUCCUCACAGAUAUGGAUUUUUUGAUGGCAGAGCCAACUUAUAAACUUUUUAUUUUUCUAUGCAUGAUACAAGGAACGUACGGAGUGCUUAUACAUUAUAAUGCGAACGCAACUGCUGUGGAGGGACAGAACGUCAGCCUGCAAUGCAAUGUGGGAGAGGAGCAUGACGUCACAAUUAUCCAACUGGAAUGGAUUAAACAGCAAAAAGAAGAUGAGAAGAUCGAUCAGAAGAUUGUUGUGUUCCAUCCUGGGUACCCAACACAUUAUUUUAAAUCCGGUUCUCUUCUGGAGACAGUGACCAAUCCAAAAACUGGGAAGCUGCAGGGCUCAAUCCUGAUCCUGUAUAAAGUUACAGUGAAUGACGGUGGAAACUAUAUUUGCGAAAUUACAUCUUAUCCUAAUGGCUCAAUUAAAAGAACCACAAAGCUCCAAGUCACAGAGCCUCCAGCAUCAGUGAAGAUGUCAUAUCCAUAUGGAUUCAUAAAAGAGGGAGAUGACGUGAAAAUAACUUGUUCAGCUAGCCCUCCACCACUCCGUUAUAAACUUGCAAGGUCAAAGGACCAGAUAAUUUGGCUGGAAAGCUCAAAAGGAGAGUUCAUUAUAUCACACAUCACCAGAAACGACAGCGAUGUGUACAUCUGUUUACCUGAAUGGGACUCAUUAAUACGAAAUCAGCAAGGUCUCAAUGCCACUAUGGAACUGACUGUGAAUUUUCUUGAUGGCAUUGAGUGUAACACAAGCAGCCCUUUAAACGUCAGUGUUGGUGAGGAUGUGAUGAUUUCUUGUAUCGCAAAAGCAUCACAGUACUUGCAGUUGCAGUAUAAGUGGAUGAGGGGUGGCACAACACUGUCUCUGUCAGAGACUUUGUCUCUGACCUCCGUAACAUCUGACCAGUCAGGAACAUACAAACUGACAGCUGUCUUUUUGAAGAAUCAACUCCAGACAGACAUGGAGUUUUCUAUCCAUGUUCUCUCGAAGCAAAGCCAAGGAAUGACAACUCCUUGCCCAGUAAGUACCACCAAACAUCUGAGCAGCUUUACCUCUAAUGGGACCAGCUCAUGGAGCAAUGAUACCACUGUGUCUACAACAGAAUCUGGUCACUUCCUAGCUAGCACAAUAAAACCAAAUGCCACUAUGACAACCCUACAACCCAGACACACCAGUCAUCCCACUGGCAGCUCUUCUGCUCCACCUGUUGGCAAUGCAUCUACAUUACAUGCAAGUACUGUCAAAUCUACAGAUACCUCUACAGACAGUUUGAGCACAACUCCAGAUCCAGCUACCAGAAGAGAAAGAGUCACCACUGUUAUAACACAGAAAAACAUCACCACUGUUACAGCACCAAAAGGCCUCCACUAUUGACUGCAUCAACUCUCAUUCAGGCUUGAGUCCAUUCUGAUAAGAAACACCCACUUUUCAAGAUCCAGCAAUGCAUCAUACGACAAUCAUAAUUAAAUCAAGUUAAAUGAACUUAAAUUUAAAAUUGUGUAUAAUUUUCUUCAUUUAAUUUUCAGUAAGUAAAUCACAGUGCGAGCAUCACAGCCUAUAAUGUUUUAUAUAGCCUAGAUUCAAUCAAAAUCAACUUAUCUGUCAUGUAUUAGGAAUGUAACUGGAAUAUUCCCUUUGAAUAUUGUUUGAAUCUGUUUCAUACUAAGGAUUUACAAGCGGUCAUGUUUUAUGUUGAUUUCAAACAAAUUAAAUACACACAAUAAUGUAAUCUGACAUGUUUAUCUGUAACUCGGGAGCCUUACAGACACAUACAGUGCCCUCCACUAAUAUUGGCACCCUUGGUAAAUAUGAGCAAAGGCGGCUAUGAAAAUAAAU